UACGUAGGGGGCAAGCGUUGUCCGGAAUCAUUGGGCGUAAAGCGCGUGUAGGCGGCUUGGUAAGUCCGCUCUGAAAGCCCGGGGCUCAACCCCGGGAGGCGGGUGGAUACUGUCAAGCUCGAGUCCGGAAGAGGCGAGUGGAAUUCCUGGUGUAGCGGUGAAAUGCGUGGAUAUCAGGAAGAACACCCGUGGCGAAGGCGGCUCUCUGGGACGGUACUGACGCUGAGACGCGAAAGCGUGGGGAGCGAACAGG
rnacentral:rRNA from 1 species